AACGAACGCUGGCGGCAUGCCUAACACAUGCAAGUCGAACGAACUCUUCGGAGUUAGUGGCGCACGGGUGCGUAACGCGUGGGAAUCUGCCCUUGGGUACGGAAUAACUCAGAGAAAUUUGUGCUAAUACCGUAUAAUGUCUUCGGACCAAAGAUUUAUCGCCCAAGGAUGAGCCCGCGUAAGAUUAGCUAGUUGGUGGGGUAAAGGCCUACCAAGGCUACGAUCUUUAGCUGGUCUGAGAGGAUGAUCAGCCACACUGGGACUGAGACACGGCCCAGACUCCUACGGGAGGCAGCAGUGGGGAAUAUUGGACAAUGGGCGAAAGCCUGAUCCAGCAAUGCCGCGUGAGUGAUGAAGGCCUUAGGGUUGUAAAGCUCUUUUACCAGGGAUGAUAAUGACAGUACCUGGAGAAUAAGCUCCGGCUAACUCCGUGCCAGCAGCCGCGGU
rnacentral:rRNA from 1 species